CAAUAAGCGGAGGAAAAGAAACCAACAGGGAUUGCCCUAGUAACGGCGAGUGAAGCGGCAACAGCUCAGAUUUGGAAUCUGGCCCCCCUGGGGGCCCGAGUUGUAAUCUGGAGAGGGAGCCUCUGGCGCGGCGCCCGGCGAGUCCCCUGGAACGGGGCGCCGGAGAGGGUGAGAGCCCCGUACGGCGGGCCGCCGUGCCUCUGCGAGGCCCCUUCGACGAGUCGAGUAGUUUGGGAAUGCUGCUCCAAGCGGGAGGUAAAUUUCUUCUAAAGCUAAAUACCGGCCAGAGACCGAUAGCGCACAAGUAGAGUGAUCGAAAGAUGAAAAGCACUUUGAAAAGAGGGUCAAACAGUACGUGAAAUUGUUGAAAGGGAAGCGCCCGUGGCCAGACUCGCGCCCUGCGGACCACCCGGCGGACCCCGCCGGGGCGCUCUGCGGGGCGCGGGCCAGCAUCGGCCGCUGCGGGGGGACAAGGACGGCGGGAACGUGGCCCCUCCGGGGGUGUUACAGCCCGCCGCGCCAUGCCUCCGCGGCGGCCGAGG
rnacentral:rRNA from 1 species